GACGAACGCUGGCGGCGUGCUUAACACAUGCAAGUCGAACGGGAUCCGGGCUUUCGGGUUUGGUGAGAGUGGCGAACGGGUGAGUAACACGUGAGUAACCUGCCCCCUUCUUUGGGAUAACGUCGGGAAAUCGGCGCUAAUACUGGAUAUUCUUGCUGCAUCGCAUGGUGUGGUUUGGAAAGGGUUUCUGGUGGGGGAUGGGCUCGCGGCCUAUCAGCUUGUUGGUGGGGUGAUGGCCUACCAAGGCUUUGACGGGUAGCCGGCCUGAGAGGGUGUCCGGCCACACUGGGACUGAGACACGGCCCAGACUCCUACGGGAGGCAGCAGUGGGGAAUAGUGCACAAUGGGCGCAAGCCUGAUGCAGCGACGCCGCGUGAGGGAUGACGGCCUUCGGGUGGUAAACCCCUUUCAGUAUGGAACAAGGAUCCUUCUUUUGGGGGGUUUGAGGGUACGUGCAGAAGAAGCGCCGGCUAACUACGUG
rnacentral:rRNA from 1 species